GCAGACAUAGCUCAGUUGGUAGAGCGUCUGACUGUUAAUCA
rnacentral:tRNA from 1 species